UUAAGUUCAGCGGGUAUCCCUACCUGAUCCGAGGUCAAUCUGAGAAGUAGAUGUGGUUAAGACCGAGCCGGAAGACCACCCAGACGCGUGCCACGAGGCUCGUUGCGUCCAGGGUCCCCGCGGGCUCUGCCAUUAUCUUUCGGGUCCACCACGUGUCGCAGCGGCGGGACCCAACAGCAAGCCGGGCUUGAGGGUUGAUA
rnacentral:misc_RNA from 1 species